rnacentral:rRNA from 1 species
GAUGAACGCUGGCGGCGUGCCUAAUACAUGCAAGUCGAGCGAACAGACGAGGAGCUUGCUCCUCUGACGUUAGCGGCGGACGGGUGAGUAACACGUGGAUAACCUACCUAUAAGACUGGGAUAACUUCGGGAAACCGGAGCUAAUACCGGAUAACAUGUUGAACCGCAGGGUUCAACAGUGAAAGACGGUCUUGCUGUCACUUAUAGAUGGAUCCGCGCCGCAUUAGCUAGUUGGUAAGUUAACGGCUUACCAAGGCAACGAUGCGUAGCCGACCUGAGAGUGUGAUCGGCCACCCGGGAGCUGAGCCGCGGUCCAGACUCCUGCGGGAGGGAGCAGUCGGGAAUCUUCCGCAAUGGGCGAGAGCCUGACGGAGCAGCGCCGCGUGAGUGAAGAAGAUCUUCGGAUCGUAAAACUCUGUUAUUAGGGAUGAACAAAUGUGUAAGUAACUAUGCACGUCUUGACGGUACCUAAUCAGAAAGCCACGGCUAACUACGUG